CUGAAGACUCUGCAUGACUAGCUGAGAGGAGGUGCAUGGCCGUCGUCAGUUCGUACUGUGAAGCAUCCUGUUUAGUCAGGCAACGAGCGAGACCCACGCCAACAGUUGCCAGCAUGUUCUCCGGAAUGAUGGGGACACUGUUGGGACCGCCUCUGCUAAAGAGGAGGAAGGAAUGGGCAACGGUAGGUCAGCAUGCCCCGAAUUAUCCGGGCUACACGCGGGCUACAAUGGGCAGGACAAUGGGUAUCGACACCGAAAGGUGAAGGUAAUCCCCUAAACCUGUCCUUAGUUCGGAUUGUGGGCUGCAACUCGCCCACAUGAAGCUGGAAUCCGUAGUAAUCGCGUUUCAAAAUAGCGCGGUGAAUCUGUCCCUGCUCCUUGCACACACCGCCCGUCAAACCACCCGAGUGAGGUCUGGAUGAGGCUGCGGUCGUUGCCGCAGUCGAAUCUGGGUUUCGCAAGGGGGGUU
rnacentral:rRNA from 1 species